GAGCUCGUUUCUGCACCACAUAUACUAAAGCUGGAACAAUACCCAAGGAACAGCAUGGCCCCUGCUCAAGGGUGACAUGCAAAUUUGUGAGGCAUUCCAUAUUUUU